rnacentral:lncRNA from 1 species
UUUUGCUCAACUUCAAGUGCAGGAAUCAUCUACAGAGAAUAAAAAGGAAAAUAAAUAAUAUAUCUUCUGUUACUUUGCUGUAUAAAAGAAGUUGAGAAAGGUGGCGGUAGAAAGAAAAAUGAAGCGCGCAUUUUUUUUUUUAGAUUAUGUUGAUGAAUGUUGGUGACAAAAAUUAUGGCGGUGGAGGUAGCAUUCAAUGCACUAUUAGACGCUUGGGUAAAAUUAAGUAAAAUCUUGAACUGACAAAUGUUAAUUAAAUUAGCUUGCUACGCUCUCUACUCCACCAUCUGUUCCAUCAUACAAAUCCGUAUCA